CCGCCAUCUUAGUUGUAGUUCUCGGAGCGCUUGUGCCGCUGCGGUUUGCAGGACUCUCCGAUCAACUUGCGCCGUGUGAAGAAAAUCGACUUCGAUCAACAUCGCAUGUGCUUGACAUUACUACUCAGACCUUCUAGGCCUGUAUAUCGUGAUCAUGGCAUGUAGACCUAUAACCGACAACCAGGAAAAGUGGACCAGUCAGACAAAGUCACUGAACCCAUUCUUUGGAAAAGAACACAUCUAUAGGUACAUAGAAAGCAAAGGUGCUCAAAAAC
rnacentral:lncRNA from 1 species